UAGAGUUUGAUCCUGGCUCAGGAUGAACGCUGGCGGCGUGUCUAAGGCAUGCAAGUCGUGCGACGGCUCGUAGCAAUACGAGUACGGAGCGGCAAACGGGUGCGUAACACAUUGGUAACCUGCCCCGCAUUGGAGGAUAACUCACCGAAAGGUGAACUAAUACCCCGUACAAUCAGUUGCCACAUGGCGAUUGAUGAGAGCCCAAAAGGCGAUGCGGGAGGGGCCUAUGGCCCAUCAGCUUGUUGGUGAGGUAAUGGCUCACCAAGGCUACGACGGGUAGGGGGCGUGAGAGCGCGACCCCCCUCACUGGGACUGAGACACUGCCCAGACUCCUACGGGAGGCUGCAGUCGAGAAUAUUCCUCAAUGGACGAAAGUCUGAAGGAGCGACGCCGCGUGCAGGAAGAAGGCCUUCGGGUUGUAAACUGCUUUUUUCAGGGACGAACACUGACGGUACCUGGAGAAUAAGAGGUUGCUAACUCUGUGCCAGCAGCAGCGGUAAUACAGAGACCUCAAGCGUUAUCCGGAUUUACUGGGCGUAAAGCGUCCGCAGACGGCUAGGUACGUCUUGCGUCAAAUGUCGAAGCUCAACUUCGGCACUGCGUGGGAUACGGCCAAGCUCGAGGUUGGGAGAGGUAAGCGGAAUUGCCGGUGUAGUAGUAAAAUGCGUUAAUAUCGGCAAGAACACCAAUUGCGAAGGCAGCUUACUGGAACAAACCUGACGUUAAUGGACGAAAGCGUGGGGAGCGAAAGGGAUUAGAUACCCCUGUAGUCCACGCCCUAAACGAUGAAUGCUAGGCAUUGGAAGUAUCGACCCUUUCAGUGCCGGACACCGAAGCUAACGCCUUAAGCAUUCCGCCUGGGGAGUACGGCCGCAAGGCUAAAACUCAAAGGAAUUGACGG
rnacentral:rRNA from 1 species